AGCAGUGUGGCUUAGUGGAUAGAGCACGGGCCUGAGAAUCAGAAAUACCUGGGUCUUAAUCCCAGCUCUGCCA
rnacentral:tRNA from 1 species